rnacentral:rRNA from 1 species
GACGAACGCUGGCGGCGUGCUUAACACAUGCAAGUCGAGCGGUAAGGCCUUUCGGGGUACACGAGCGGCGAACGGGUGAGUAACACGUGGGUCAUCUGCCCUGCACUCUGGGAUAAGCCUGGGAAACUGGGUCUAAUACUGGAUAUGACCUCAGCAUGCAUGUGCUGGGGUGGAAAGCUUUUGUGGUGCAGGAUGGGCCCGCGGCCUAUCAGCUUGUUGGUGGGGUAAUGGCCUACCAAGGCGACGACGGGUAGCCGACCUGAGAGGGUGACCGGCCACACUGGGACUGAGACACGGCCCAGACUCCUACGGGAGGCAGCAGUGGGGAAUAUUGCACAAUGGGCGGAAGCCUGAUGCAGCGACGCCGCGUGAGGGAUGAAGGCCUUCGGGUUGUAAACCUCUUUCAGCAGGGACGAAGCGUGAGUGACGGUACCUGCAGAAGAAGCACCGGCUAACUACGUGCCAGCCGCCGCAGUAA